UAUUCUUAUGUAUUACAUGAAUAUCUUUUAAUUAAUCUUUCAUUUCUUUAUUAAAAGAAACUACAAGUUGUUAAAGACAGUGGGCAUGACAUCUAAAUGCAAAAGAAUAGAAAUUUGUUGGGGAUGGCAAUCUUGGCACAAGAAGAAAGGAUAAUCUGACGAGGAACCAUGGUUGGCCAGCAAAUCAACACAAGCAUUUUCCUCCCUGAAGUUAUGACGAAUUAUGGAAAGGAGCACAACAUAAGAAUGAUGUUGAUUUUGACCACCCUUAACAAGUCUCCAAACCGGAACUGCCUGGAUUGUCUCUAGAGCUAGCUACCAUCCACGUUAAUCUUCACAACGUUUGUUGCUGGAGCAGCCAAAGUAGAUGUUGGUGCCUGCUUGCUAAGAAGGUUGUUGAAGGUAGAUGUAAGAUCAUCGAUCUGGCCAUAUUUUAUCCUUCAACACCUCAAUGUUGCGAGCCUUCCAAACCUUAAUAGUAAAACGAAUCCCAUAAUCAGUGCUUGCAUGGGUACAAAGCCACUACUCAAACACACAUCAUCUCUAGGUUGGACACAAUCUUCUAUUCCCAUCAUUACCCAUAUUCUUCUGGCUUUGAAACAAUGGAAGACAAUAUGCAUGAUUGUUUCCUGAUGAAUGUCACACCUGCAACAAAAAUUAUCAACAGCAAUGUCUCUAUAGACACGAAAUACGUUAAAAAAAGCAAUAAGAAUUUAUGUAAUUUUACGAAAUUUAUCUUAUAUUUACAUAACAAUUUUUUUUUUUUUUAUACUGUGUUAACAUAAUUUUUUAUUGGCUAACGGAUUUGGUCUUCUAAUCUAUUUUCUUAAUACUCUAAUUAUUAAAUGAUUCAAUUUAAUCCUUUAAUUUUUAAAAUUAGUUCAAUUAAAAUUUUCUGUCUAAAUUUGGUUAAUGACGUUAAUGCAAUGGGGACUCGCUUUUACGCUUUCUGGCGAGUAGUUUUCACAUACGGAGCGUUUUAAAACGCCACAAUUUCUUUAUUUGAUUUUAUAAUAAUUCAUAGCCUUGUUUGUAGACUGGUCAUGAAGAAGUUGCAGAUCUCCCUCGUUCGUAGUAGGGUUUUGACGACGGUGGCUCGGAUUCAAUGUUGCGUGUUGACGGCAACUGAGCGAAAGAGUUAAGGUUUGCAGAACCCUCAUUCUCGACGACGGAGCGGUUGUCGAUUUCUCUCGUUCGCGACAGCAGUUGACACAAAUCUGGUGUCGUAGUUGUAGAUCCGCCAUGAACGAGUAGAGGGUUGCUACUAGGAGGGUCUCUUCCUUCUAGAGUCUCCUCUUCUUUGUGGCGAGUCAAUCACGCUGCUUCCACUUAUGUUUCUCAAAAGCAGAUCUAAUGCUAUAGAAAAUAUAUUUAUUUCUUUUUUCUGGAGGUUGGGGAUUUCAUUGAACCAAUUUAUUGUGUGGGGGUGUCGAAGAGUGACGAGGUAGGUGCUAUAGGAAUUGUAGUUUGGGUCUGGGUGGGGUGUCGAAGCUGAAGGGGUUUGGGUUUAU
rnacentral:lncRNA from 1 species